rnacentral:piRNA from 1 species
UUGGGUUUUGUCCAUAUCUGAUGUUUGUGA